GUCUGGGAAGGCGUCUCUGGGGAGGUGACAUUUCAGAUGUAACCUUAAUGAUGAGAAACCAGAUUGUGAGAAUCUUCUGGAAGAGCUUUCCAAGCUGCAGAAACCAAGAGUGGCCAAGGAGCAGAAAGAAGCCAUUGCAGCCGGAGUGUGGAGAGAGAGGUGGCAGCAGGGCCGGGGAGACAGGAUGAUGGGCUGAACUUGCAAGGCAGAUGGGAAAACUAGGGUUCAACAGUUAAUGAAGCUCUACAAGUUCACACUGCCGGAAGUCAGAACUGGAACCCAGAUCCUUGGAUUUAAUCCUGUGUUCUAUUUCAAAUCAAGAAUUCCUGAGGGGGCUGCUAGUGAAAUUUUAUGUAGAGGUUUAUUUGGACAGACAGUUCUUAAUACUAAAAUAAGAUUAAGUUUAAAAAUACUUUGAAAUUUUAUUAUAAAAAUAAUAUAAUCCUAUCAAAGAAAAGUUAAAAAGAGAAAAUAAAAAGCUAACUCUCUAGUUGUACUUUGUCACCAGUUGCUCCAGGCAGAUAAAAUGAGGCCUGAGGAACAGUGGGAUAGGCAGAAAAUGCUGCUGGGAUGGACAGACUCUGUGGCCUGGCACUGAUUAAGCUCUUGAUUCUAAAUAUGUUCCUGUGCUUCUGAUGUGGGGAACAUCCAAGAGGAAACUAUUCCCUAGAGAAAGAAGAUCCACUUUUGAUGGCCAUCAUCAUCUGGAGAAGGGAGGGCAAUUUGGGUCACUGGUGUAAGGGUGUGUGUUAAAAGUUCAGGUACUGGGUCCCAUUCUAGAAGAUCCCAAUGCCCACUUGUCAUAGUAAAGCUUCUAGGGUCUAGUAAUACAGCAGUCUUAAAACAUCACGCUUAAGUGAACUGUUCCCAGACUUAUUUAGUAAUGGAUUUAAGAGAAUGUAUAAUACCCAGUAGCAUCCCAAGCACUUGGAUUCUAUGGAACAUACUUUGGGAAAUGCUUCAAUAAAGCAGUAAGAAGAAAAUUCAUUCUUUUGAGAAAAAAUGUUUGGGGAUAUUAAGUCAGAGGCUUGGGUUUUUUUUUAAAAAAGAUGGUUUUUCAGAUGCUGAUUUAGGGACCAAGAAUAGGACUAAGGAAUGCCCCUGCUAGCAAAG
rnacentral:lncRNA from 1 species